rnacentral:ncRNA from 1 species
UUGAUAGAGGCGCCGGAGCGAAGAGUAGCCGUCAGACACGUCCGGACGGGACGGACGGCGAAAGGCGAAGCCGGCCGAGGUACGCGGGGAACGUCAAUAGCCGCGCGCCGGGAUCGGGUGAUAAUACGCCCGGUACUGUCACUUACAGUGGAGCGCUAUCG